rnacentral:rRNA from 1 species
GACGAACGCUGGCGGCGUGCCUAAUACAUGCAAGUCGAACGAGAGCACCCGGUGCUUGCCCUGGUCAAUCUAGUGGCGAACGGGUGAGUAACACGUGGGUAACCUGCCCAUCAGAGGGGGAUAACAUCCGGAAACGGAUGCUAAAACCGCAUAGGUCUUCGAACCGCAUGGUUUGAAGAGGAAAAGAGGCGCAAGCUUCUGCUGAUGGAUGGACCCGCGGUGCAUUAGCUAGUUGGUGAGGUAACGGCUCACCAAGGCCGUGAUGCAUAGCCGACCUGAGAGGGUGAUCGGCCACAUUGGGACUGAGACACGGCCCAAACUCCUACGGGAGGCAGCAGUAGGGAAUCUUCCGCAAUGGACGCAAGUCUGACGGAGCAACGCCGCGUGAGUGAAGAAGGUUUUCGGAUCGUAAAACUCUGUUGUUAGAGAAGAACAAGUGCUAGAGUAACUGUUAGCGCCUUGACGGUAUCUAACCGGAAAGCCACGGCUAACUACGUG